rnacentral:misc_RNA from 1 species
UUUCCGUAGGUGAACCUGCGGAAGGAUCAUUCAUAAUAAGUGUUUUAUGGCACUUUUUUAAAUCCAUAUCCACCUUGUGUGCAAUGUCAGGGUUGGUCUCUUUUUGAUCAGCCCCAAACACCAACUAUUAUCUCAACUCUUUGUCUGAAAAAUAUUAUGAAUAAAACAAUUCAAAAUACAACUUUCAACAACGGAUCUCUUGGCUCUC